GUUUGCUCUUGUUCCUAAUUAAAUAGUUGCAAACUUUGACGGUCCCAUAGUCUCAUGCAAGAACUCUCGGAUGCAAGAAGAGACUUAACAGCGCUAUGUGUGCGCGCGCGCGCACGGGGGUGCAAGAAAGAUGCAUUGAAGCAGUAUUUCAAGAAAGAGCUUGCUCUUCUAGACCUUCUGAGUCCCCGCUGCCAAUCCAAGACGGUAAUUACUGAUUAGAACUUAUUAGUUGGGCCAUGCAUGUCGAAACUUGAUCUGGGCCUUACAGGCAUCGAAAGAUACAAUAUAUUCCAAAUGAUGAAAAAGAGACCGGGAAAACUUGGAUCGCGUCUAUCCAAGUUUUUGGUUUAUGCUCAGGAAUUUUUAUUUUUAUUUUUUGAAGGAUACGUUUUUACUGUUUUUUUUUUAAGUGUAUCGUUAAUGCAACUGAUCAGGCUGAUGAUG